CGCAAGCCUGAUGCAGCCAUGCCGCGUGUAUGAAGAAGGCCUUCGGGUUGUAAAGUACUUUCAGCAGUGAGGAAGGUGGGGUAUGGUUAAUAGCAUACUCAUUUGACGUUAGCUGCAGAAGAAGCACCGGCUAACUCCGUGCCAGCAGCCGCGGUAAUACGGAGGGUGCGAGCGUUAAUCGGAAUUACUGGGCGUAAAGCGCAUGCAGGUGGUUUGUUAAGUCAGAUGUGAAAGCCCGGGGCUCAACCUCGGAAUUGCAUUUGAAACUGGCAAACUAGAGUACUGUAGAGGGGGGUAGAAUUUCAGGUGUAGCGGUGAAAUGCGUAGAGAUCUGAAGGAAUACCGGUGGCGAAGGCGGCCCCCUGGACAGAUACUGACACUCAGAUGCGAAAGCGUGGGGAGCAAACAGGAUUAGAUACCCUGGUAG
rnacentral:rRNA from 1 species